rnacentral:rRNA from 1 species
GACGAACUGUGCGAACGUUAUUCGGAAUCACUGGGCUUACAGGGUGCGUAGGCGGCCACGUAAGUAGGGUGUGAAAUCCCCCGGCCCAACCGGGGAACUGCGCUCUAAACUACAUGGCUUGAGUGAGCUAGGGGUCCACGGAACUUCCAGUGGAGCGGUGAAAUGUGUUGAUAUUGGAAGGAACACCGGAGGCGAAAGCGGUGGACUGGGGCUUAACUGACGCUGAGACACGAAAGCGUGGGUAGCAAACAGG